rnacentral:lncRNA from 1 species
ACAUCUCCAUCUGGAGGACAAGGCAGAGAGGAGGUGUGACUACAGAGGGUGGUGAUCAGGGAAGGGGGAUGGGACCAGCUCCUGGGCAGAGAGCUCGGAGCUGGGACUGUAUUCUGUUUGACUAUCUGCAGUAGGCAAAAGGUACAGCCAAAUGCCACUCAACACUAGCUGCGGGGAGCACAAGGUGGUGUUCUUGCUGGUGUGAGAUGAGGUGCGGUUGGAGCUCACACAGGAACAACAGCCUUUGCAAGAAGUGAAUGUGCUCUUAACCUCUGAGCCAUUUCUCCAGCCCACGCCUGCUUCCUCUAGGAUAUCUCUGGCCCGACAUUUUUUAACGUUGUAAAGACCCAGGAGAAGUGUCAGAUGAAAUGCUGUUUGGAGACAAUGGGAACAGAGGCAGGAAAAUCUCUAUGAGUUUAAGUCCAGCACAGUCUACAUAAUGAGUUCCAGGACAUUCAGAGCUACAUAGCAAGAAUCUGUCUCAAAAGAAAAUUAUUUUUUCCCAAUGAGAUGCUACUGGUGUACACAUGAACCCUGAAGGGAAGAAACAUGGAGUAGGGUCACAAGGAGACAAUUGCUGGGGGUAAAGGCAAAGCCUUGGAGUGACAACAACUUAUGGGUAUUGAUUUUGUGUAUGCAUCUGGUAAGGCGUGCAGGUGGAGGUCAAAGGGUCAUUUGUGAGAAUCAGUUCUCUCCUUCUGCCAAAUGUAUCCUGGGGGUUGAGCUCGUGACACCAGUAUUGGUGCCAUGAUAGCGGCAGUUACAGUCCCUAUGCUGCCCCCAACAAGGUGGGUUCAGAGCACCAGGACCUAUCAGCCAUGAACUGGACCUUAUAAAACGUCAAUUGAGGAGCUUCUCCAAAAGUGGAAGUCCAGAUCCAGGCCAUUCAUGAUGUGAGGCCUUUGGCCGAUGCC